UUCGUUUAUAUAUUGGCCGACAAAUAAAACAACUCGUGAACCUUCCAGAAAUAGAAAACAAACGCAUUUGCCAAGGAAACGUGGCCCAAAACUAAGCAACCCCUAACAAAUAAAACAAACAAAA
rnacentral:sRNA from 1 species